CCAAUAGCGUAUAUUAAAGUUGUUGCAGUUAAAAAGCUCGUAGUUGAAUUUCGAGAUCAAAUUGUUGGUCGUGCCUUGGUACGUACUGACAUUAUUGGUUUCUCCCUUCUGAAGAACCAUGAUGUCAUUAAUUUGGUGUCAUGGGAAAUCAGGACUGUUACUUUGAAAAAAUUAGAGUGUUUAAAGCAGGCUCGCGCUUGAAUACAUUAGCAUGGAAUAAUGAAAUAGGACGUUUAAUUCUAUUUUGUUGGUUUCUAGGAUUGACGUAAUGAUUAAUAGGGAUAGUUGGGGGCAUUAGUAUUCAAUUGUCAGAGGUGAAAUUCUUGGAUUUAUUGAAGACUAACUACUGCGAAAGCAUUUGCCAAGGAUGUUUUCAUUAAUCAAGAACGAAAGUUAGGGGAUCGAAGACGAUCAGAUACCGUCGUAGUCUUAACCAUAAACUAUGCCGACUAGGGAUCGGAUGAUGUUAAUUUUUUAAUGACUCAUUCGGCGCCUUACG
rnacentral:rRNA from 1 species